rnacentral:rRNA from 1 species
UACGAAGGGGGCUAGCGUUGCUCGGAAUCACUGGGCGUAAAGGGUGCGUAGGCGGGCCUUUAAGUCAGGGGUGAAAUCCUGGAGCUCAACUCCAGAACUGCCUUUGAUACUGAGGAUCUUGAGUUCGGGAGAGGUGAGUGGAACUGCGAGUGUAGAGGUGAAAUUCGUAGAUAUUCGCAAGAACACCAGUGGCGAAGGCGGCUCACUGGCCCGGUACUGACGCUGAGGUGCGAAAGCGUGGGGAGCAGACAGG